UACAUAUAAUUUUACAUCUAGUUAUAUUUAUAGGUGUAUAUAGUUACAUAGUUAGAUGUGUAUGAAUGUUUAGGUACGUAUAUUGAUAUUUGUAUAGGUAUAGGCUGCUUUCUCACCUCUGCUACCUUUUCCAUCCCUCACUCUUCCCGCCGUGCCGCCUCUGUCCCCGCUCCCUGUGCCGCCUCUGGGCUGGUGGCCGGGCCGGGGGAGCAGCAGCUCCAGCCCCAGGUCCCGGCCCCCCGCACCCCCAUGGGACUGGGGGAGCUUCUGGUGGCACCAGGCACCACUCCCCAAGGAGCUGCUGGAGGAUGGACUGCCCUGAAUUCCUUGUGAGCAGCAAGAGACUGAUGAGGGCCAAGAGAGAGAAGCUGACGACCACCAGCCACAUCUUGAACAGGGACCUGCUGCUGCUGCUGCCUGAGACCCUUGAUGUCCAUCUGUACCUCUCCAGGAGGGCUGCUCUGCAUGGGAGGGAGAGACCGAGGAAGAGCCUGUGAAGAUGGGGCGGCUGGGAUCUCUCUGUAUAUACUUAUAUUUAGAGAUGUGUAUAGUUAUAGUUAUACCUAGGUAGUUAUAGGUAUAUAGAUAUUUACAUAUGUAGAUUGAAUAUUUGUAUAGGUAUAUUUAUAUAUUUAUCUGGUUAUUUUUAUAAGUGUAUGCAGUUGUAUAGAUGUAUAGUUAUAGUGAUGUAGUUAUAGGUAUAUGGAUAUUUAGAUAGGUGUAUUGAUAUUUGUAUAGAUAU